rnacentral:lncRNA from 1 species
GCCAGAAUAACAAAGUAGCUGUUUUCUAUUGACAUUCAUUUGGUUGCAUCCAUAACAAUGAGCUGAUAAUGACUGAUUUUGCCUGGCAUAGCUAGAAAAGUUUGCCUUCUCAUCAGGACACUCGUCAACACUGACUGUUAACUACGAGGAGAUCGCUUUGCAUAUCAAACACUGGGCUAGAAGCUAGCUAAAUAGUUUGUUGCUAGCAAACCUUCCAAUACGAUAACCUAAUUCAAAAAUAUCAGUUGCUGAAAACAGCUGGUCAAACUAGGUAAUAUUAUAGUGUGUUAUUAUCAUGUGUAUAGAGGUACUAUUAUAGUGUGUAUUAUCAUGUGUAUAGAGGUACUUUUAUAGUGUGUAUUAUCAUGUGUAUAGAGGUAAUAUUAUAGGGUGUAUUAUCAUGUGUAUAGAGGUACUUUUAUAGUGUGUAUUAUCAUGUGUAUAGAGGUAAUAUUAUAGUGUGUAUUAUCAUGUGUAUAGAGGUACUUUUAUAGUGUGUAUUAUCAUGUGUAAAGAGGUAAUAUUAUAGGGUGUAUUGUCAUGUGUAUAGAGUUAAUAUUAUAGGGUGUAUUAUCAUGUGUAUAGAGGUAAUAUUAUAGGGUGUAUUAUCAUGUGUAUAGAGGUAAUAUUAUAGGGUGUAUUAUCAUGUGUAUAGAGGUAAUAUUAUAGUGUGUUAUUAUCAUGUGUAUAGAGGUAAUAUUAUAGUGUGUUAUUAUCAUGUGUAUAGAGGUAAUAUUACUGUGUGUGCAGGAGCUGACUUUUUUCAUAAUGGGGUCAUUGAAGUCAUGGUGAAUUUGAUAGGAGGGACAUUGAAACUGAAUAUCAGACAUACAGUGCAUAUGGAAAGUAUUCAGACCCCUUGACUUUUUCCACAUUUUGUUACGUUACAGCCUUAUUCUGAAUGGAUGAAGUAAAAAAAUGUAUCAUCAAUCUACACACAGUACCACAUAAUGACAAAGUGAAAACAGGUUUUUAGAAACGUUUGCAAAUGUAUUAAUAUUAAAUAACAAAAAUACCUUAUUUGCGUAAGUAUUCAGACCCUUUGCUAUGAGACUCGAAAUUUAGCUCAGGUGUAUUUGUAUUUAUUAAGAAUCCCCAUUAGCUGCUGCCAAGGCAACACAAUUAAGGCAGUUAUACAAUUUUAAAAACAUUACAAUACAUUUACAGAUUUCACAUCUUGUUUCCUAUUUCCAUUGAUCAUCUUGAGAAGUUUCUACAACUUGAUUGGAGUCCACCU